rnacentral:sRNA from 1 species
UAAAGCGUCAUUGAGCGAAUACCCACUA